rnacentral:rRNA from 1 species
GACGAACGCUGGCGGCGUGCUUAACACAUGCAAGUCGAACGAAGAGCGACGGAAGCUUGCUUCUAUCAAUCUUAGUGGCGAACGGGUGAGUAACGCGUAAUCAACCUGCCCUUCAGAGGGGGACAACAGUUGGAAACGACUGCUAAUACCGCAUACGAUCUAAUCUCGGCAUCGAGGAUAGAUGAAAGGUGGCCUCUACAUGUAAGCUAUCACUGAAGGAGGGGAUUGCGUCUGAUUAGCUAGUUGGAGGGGUAACGGCCCACCAAGGCGAUGAUCAGUAGCCGGUCUGAGAGGAUGAACGGCCACAUUGGGACUGAGACACGGCCCAGACUCCUACGGGAGGCAGCAGUGGGGAAUCUUCCGCAAUGGACGAAAGUCUGACGGAGCAACGCCGCGUGAGUGAUGACGGCCUUCGGGUUGUAAAGCUCUGUUAAUCGGGACGAAAGGCCUUCUUGCAAAUUUUGAGAAGGAAAACG